GACGAACGCUGGCGGCGUGCUUAACACAUGCAAGUCGAACGGAAGGGCCCUGCUUUUGUGGGGUGCUCGAGUGGCGAACGGGUGAGUAACACGUGAGUAACCUGCCCUUGACUUUGGGAUAACUUCAGGAAACUGGGGCUAAUACCGGAUAGGAGCUCCUGCUGCAUGGUGGGGGUUGGAAAGUUUCGGCGGUUGGGGAUGGACUCGCGGCUUAUCAGCUUGUUGGUGGGGUAGUGGCUUACCAAGGCUUUGACGGGUAGCCGGCCUGAGAGGGUGACCGGCGACAUUGGGACUGAGAUACGGCCCAGACUCCUACGGGAGGCAGCAGCGGGGAAUAUUGCACAAUGGGCGGAAGCCUGAUGCAGCAACGCCGCGUGCGGGAUGACGGCCUUCGGGUUGUAAACCGCUUUCGCCUGUGACGAAGCGUGAGUGACGGUAAUGGGUAAAGAAGCACCGGCUAACUACGUG
rnacentral:rRNA from 1 species